rnacentral:lncRNA from 1 species
CCAUGAGCAACCAUGUGGACAGAGCUGACUCACACCCUCCUAUGAUCACCCACAUGAGGCAGAGGUGACUCACAGCCUCCCCCGCUGGACAUGGCCUGAAGCUUGGCUCUGGGAGGAGAACAGGGGUGCCUGCGCCAUCCUCUGCUGUGUUUAAUGCCUGGGUGCUGCCCACACACUGGUGGUGCCCAGCCCCCGUGCCCCUGCUCCACCUCUGUGAGUGUGAAAGUGUCAGGAGUUGGCUGUUCCAGACCCAGUGAGGUGGUGAAGCUGACUCAGCUGCCAGAGGGAAGACAGGAGGCUACUCAGAGAGAGGUACAUUUCACAACUGCCCCCCUACCAGUCACCACCGCCCCACCUGCCCACAACACUGCAACGGAAGCCGUCUCUCAAGCAGGCCUCACUGAAGACCACGGUCCAUGCUGCUGAGGUCAUGAAUGUCCCCAGCGUGGCCACCUGGCACUGGCUUUUCCCCAUCUGGGGAAGCUGGAAAUGCCCAAAGCCCGGGUCUUGGAUUCUGCUUUUUCUACUCAGAUAAAGACACUUGGAUCUGGGUCUGAAGUGCAGGCUGUGUUCCCACUCAUCCCAUCACUGAGGUCCUUGUGACCCCAGGGUCAGCUGUGUUCCCACUCAUCCCAUCGCAGAGCAUCUGUGACCCCAGGUCAUGCUGCUUAUUCUUCCCAGGCUGCAUAUCAAGGUAUACAUAUCAAUGUAUACCAUCAGGAUGAAAUAUCUUCCUAGAAGAAGUGAUAGAGAAAUAAAUGAGGAGAUGAUUUGAAAAGCACUUUGAACUAAGAAUUCUGAGCCUCUGGGCUGUCACUCUGGGCAAACCACAAAAUAUCAAAGAGCCGGUCUGUCAUCAGCCACCAAUCCAGUUAGCAGACACGACCGAGAACCCUGGAUUCAGAAGCAGCCGCCAACCCAGUUAGCAGACACGACCAAGCACCCUGGAUUCAGAGGCAGCCACCAAUCCAGUUAGCAGACACGACCAAGCACCCUGGAUUCACAGGCAGCCACCAAUCCAGUUAGCAGACACGACCAAGCACCCUGGAUUCACAGCCAGCCACGAAUCCAGUUAGCAGACACAACCAAGCACCCUGGAUUCAGAGGCAGCCACCAAUCCAGUUAGCACACAUGACCGAGCACCCUGGAUUCACAGGCAGCCACGAAUCCAGUGAGCAGACACACCAAGCACCCUGGAUUCAGAGGCAGCCGGUUUUUCAGAACCAGCUCUGUUGUUCACUAGCCUCCUGGCCUUAAUUAAGUUUCUUAUUUCCUGAGCUUGUGUUUCCAGGUAAGAUUCUCAAGAGACAAAGAAGAAUAAUGCUCCCUAAAAGCUGCCGCACACAUGCCCUGUGUGUGCCCGUGACAUGUCCCAAGCCCUGAUGGGGAGUGGCUCAUUUUGUACCACACAGCUGUCAUCCCCACUUCACAGAGGAAGAAACUCAGGGGGCUGAAAUACUUGCCUGAGACAUGGAAGCAGUCAGUGGCAGAACUGGGAGAUAACCGAGAAACUGAGUGGAAUGCCGCCUAAUCAAAGGACCCCUAUGGAGAAGGUCCUCAUGAAAAGGCAGCAGAUGCUCCUUUUUUAUAGCAAAAAUGUUAAUUCUUUCUAUUUUGGCUGAACUUUUCACAUCCCAAUUCCUCUCUGGAGCUGCUGACACACAAGCCCCAGGUGGCAGGGCGAGCUCUCUCCGCCUGCUUAUGUUUUUUUCUUGCUUGUGACCCAGAAAAAUUGCCAAAGUCAAGGAACAUUCUGUAAUGAGAUUUUACUAUGAAAGAGGAGAUUUACUCCCAUGAGUCUCAGAUGGCACAACUUGUUUGUCAGCUAAGACCGCUGCUUUCCAGUCCUAAUUCUGUUCUGGUAGAUGUUUUAAGUAUUUCAUUUUUGUUUUGUUUCUAGUGAGAAUGUAAUGUGAUAUGAGGCUAACCUCAAGCUGCAGAUGUAGAGAAUCACCUGGAAUUAUCACAGGGUGUUGCCCUGCGAGGAUCUGGGCACGCCAGGUGAUGAGUGGCAUGUGCAC